UUUUUUUUUUUUUUUUUUUUUUUUUAGGACUAUAUCCAAGGCAUAUGGGCAUAUAGAAGUUCCCACUCUAGGGGUCAAAUCGGAGCUACAGAUGCCAGGCUACACCACAGCCACAGCAAUGUGAGAUCUGAGCCGCAUCUUCAAGCUACACCACAGCUCAUAGCAAUGCUGGAUCCUUAACCCACUGAGUGAGGCCAGGGAUCAAACUUGCCUCCUCAUGGAUACUAACCAGGUUCAUUUCCGAUGGCCCACAGUGGGAACUCCUCUAGACAUCAUAUAUAUUUUUUUAUUUUAUUAUUUAUUUAUUUAUUGUCUUUUUAGGGCCAUACCCAUGGCAUAUGGAAGUUCCCAGGCUAGGGGUCGAAUUGGAGCUGCAGCUGCCUUCCUAAGCCACAGCCGCAGCAACACCUGGUCUGAGCCAAAUUUGUGACCUGCACCACAGCUCACUGCAAUGCCAGAUCCUUAAUCCACUGAGAGUGGCCAGGGAUCAAACCUGUGUCCUCAAGGUUACUAGUCAGGUUCAUUAUAGCUGAGCCACAACAGGAACUCCUUUCUUUCUUUCUUUCUUUCUUUUUUUUUUUUUUUUGACAUGAUGUAUUUUAAACAAUUAUAUUGAGAUAUAAUUCACAAACCAUAUAAUUUAUCCAUUAAAAGCGUAUAAUUCAAUGGCUUCCAGUAUAUUCACAGAGUCAUGUAACUAUGACAAUAAUCAAUUCUAGAACAUUUUCAUCACCCCAAAAAGAAACCCCAUGCCCUAUAACCAUUAUUCCCCCAAUCUUUUCACUCUCCCUCCUACCCCUAGUCCUAGGCAAUCAAUAACUUACUUUCUGUCUCUAUAGAUUUACCCAUUUUGGACAGUUUAUGUAGAAGGAACCAUGAAGUAUAUGGUCUUUUGUCACUGCCUUCUUUCACUUAGCAUAAAAAUUUCAAGGUUCAUCCAUGUUAUAGCACAUAUCAUACUUCAGUUCUUUUUAUUGCUGAAUAAUAAUACUGAGCAUCAGAUGUUAAGAGAGUUAGAGACAUAUGCUAAAGACAAAUUGGGGCACACUCAGCUGAGAGUCUAGGUCUUAACUCAAAACUGUGUCAUAAGGAAUAAUUGAAGAAACCAAGGUUACUUAAUGCAGGAAUAAGAAGAUACAGUGACUUGAUAUCUAUUUACAAAUGACUGAAGAAAUAGCAUAAUUCAGAGAUAAUUGACAUUUUCUGUCUGAAUAUAGGUAGCAGAUUUAAGAACUAUUGGAAGAAGCUGUAGCAAACAAAUUUUACCUUGAAGUUAAAAAAAUGUAUACAAUUUCCCCCAAAGGAAAUAGAGAACCUCUGAAACACAUAUAUUCUUGACUAAGAUGUAAAAAUCUAGACCGGAUGAUCACAAACUGGGAAAGAUCUAGAGAAAGAUGAACUUUUGGCAUCCCUUUCAACCUUGAAAUUCUAUAUCAUUCAGAAGUCGAAUGGGAUUAGUGUCAGAACUGAGGUUAAAACUCAGAAACUCCUGGCUUCCAAACUUUUGCCCUACUCAGCCAUCACAUACACAAGCAAAAGUGAGAAAAGAGAGUUUAUCUAAGAUAAGUUGGCUUGGUGUGUUGAUGGAUUACUGUGGGGAUAAGGAGGAACCAAAGAAGAAGAGAGAAGUGGGACAACCUGACAUGUAUUCACACAUACGCAUGCGCGCGCGCGCGCACACACACACACACACACACACACACACACACACACACACACACACCAAGAGAUAACUGAAGGGCAAUGUGUAUCUUUGGCUAAGUUGGGAGCAGACCUGACAUUUAGACCCCUACAUUGUCUAUACUGAAGCUUUUGCUCUCUAAGAAGAGAGAGUUUGGUUUGGGAAGAAGUUAUAAAUAAUUAGAGAAUAGAGGGGUUAACAUCCAUACCUAUCUAUAGGCCUCAAACCCAAACCAUUUUUAAUAUAGAUGUGAGAUUCUAGGCAAAAGUUGAAAUACAAAAGCUCAUUGAAUUAUUAUUUAAAGACUUUACCAGACAAACAGCACUCUUUGGUUUGCAAAUUACAGCACCAGGGGGCAAUAAUAUGGAGGCCAUUGUCUGCACGGAUCACACCACCACUCAGGCACCAGCUCAUGAUGGACUGAAAGCAUAUAGAGACAGCACAUGGGUAAAGGCAUUCUCAGGCUCCUCAGGGGCACUGCACUGCUGGCAAUGCUCAGUCUCCUUUGUUCAGCUUCGCAGAUCGUGACCAUGACAGAUGGGAACUGGAAAAGAGGAGAAAAAACCUGGAAGAUAUAGGCAGUGACUUCAACCAAAAGACUGGUUUGUGAGCACAUGUUAAUAUGACGCCAUCAUGGUGGACUCCCAGAAAUACUAGGGAGACAUUUUGAAGAUGCCCGAUUUCCUGUUGAAGCAGAGCAGUGAUGGACAACGGAUCUAUACUAUGUUGAGUUACCAGCAAUUGCCUUCUAAACAACAAAAGCUUUAUUCUGAAAUCACAAAACAGAGCAAGAAUAUUUGAGAGGGCUGCACCUGGGCUAGGGGAUGAAUCAGAGCUACAGCUGUGGCCUAAGCCAUAGACGCUGCAACACGGGAUCUGAGCCACAUCUGCAACCUAUACUACAGCUUGCCGCAAUGUCAGUUCCUGAACCCAAUGUGAACCUAUCAGUGGUCUGAGAACACUGGAAUUUGUAAAUUCACAUGCUACUGAAACACUGAACAUAGAGUGUGCUCAAAAUUCUUGGAAAAUCAAGAUAGUCCUACUCCGUAUCUCCCUUAAUGUGGUUCUCUGAAGACGAUAUUGUUACAGAUUCUGGAUACCUGGAGUAUAUUUAACAGGCUGGAGCACAAAGGCUAAAGACCUCCCUGAACUGGUCUGAGAACAAUUCCAUUCCACAUCCCUUGGCAAGCCCCUGGGGCUGGCCUAGAUGGGUAAAUUCUGAUGUGUUAUCAGAACAGAGAUAGCACACACUUUCUCAGGAGGGCUGGCCAGGUGUACCUGUCUGUACAAGCCCUUUGUCUUCUGAGGUUGUACUCACAGCAUCUUCUACCAUCAGGCAAAAAUGACAGAUAUAGGCCAUUUUAGCCUCUUAUAUCCACGAGCUUGUAUUCUGUUUUUAAAAAUAGCAGUAUUUCAUUUAUCUAAAAUUGGGUUUUUUUCAAGGUGUUCUCAGAGAGAUUAAAUCAUCAUAUAAAACAUUUUUUCCAGAAAAUUAGAACCAUCAUAGAUAGAAUUUUUUAAAAUUAUUGUUGUUGAAAGAAGUCUUCAUAGUAUAUGGUAUAUGUUAAGUUCUGCCUUAAUAAAAAUAUGCAACAUAUAAAA
rnacentral:lncRNA from 1 species